GUUGAGUUCAAUAAUAUCUUUAAAUGCUGAAGUAAUUUCUGGAAAUGCAAGAACGGUUGAAAGAUCUGGAAAAGCAGUAAUUUUGUGAACAAAUCAAUCUAACUGAUGAGCCAAAAGUAUAAGGUUAUAAAUAUCUUUACUCAGACUGUUCAUGCCUUUUCGAACAUAAAAGUUUUCAGUUUGUUUAGUGUUCCUUGGUUUAGCUACAGCCUGGUGUGAACCAUCAACUACAUCACUGCAAAUAAUUUUUUUGUAUCAAGCCCAUAUGCAACCCGCAUAAAAUUUAUUGUAGAAUUUGGCCUCUCUCUAUUGUUUGACUUCAUACCCAGGUAGUCUCAGCUUAAAAUAACUUUUUAUCGUUUUGCAAUUUAGAUCAAUGUCAGCUUGUUUUGGUUCACAUCUGCUAUCGUUCACCCAAGGAUGUUGGUUGAAUUUUCAAGUCUUGAUUUCUUUAUUAAAAGUAUAUCACCACCUUUUGGCCUAACUGGUGGCUUAUUAUUUACUUAAUCUGAUGAGUUAUUUUGAAGUUUCUAAUAACAAAGGACUGGUCUAAUUGUUUAGUAGCACAAGUUAAAAUUGGAAUAACACCACCACCUAUCUGCACAUACGGAAGACGAACUGUACUGCGAAACAAUGAACAACCAAUACUGUGCCGAGGAGGAGCUCUACUACGAAAUAAUGGAUGACCAUGACUGUGUCGCGAAGGAGCAUGGCUAUGACUGCGAAUAUACUCACUCCACUGGCUGCGGGCCUCCGUGGCGCUUUGCCGCCGCUACAAGAAGGUUCCAAUGACCAUGGUCCUGUGCAACAUCCCACCAAUGCCCUGGACCAUCCACUCCAAGAUUUGUCAUGUCCCUUUGUGUUAUCAGACCAUCUCAUGCGGUGUCUAACUGGAGUUUGUCUGCCCUCUAGUAAUCUGGCUUAUCAGUCUAUCCUCAUGAGCCCUGGCCACAUGCCAUGCCCACCUCAGUCUUUGAGCCAUAAUUGUGCUUGUUAUCAGGGGGUACUUCUGUCAUUUCCCUCACUUCAUUAUUAUGCCUUCUCCAUUGCCUAGUCUCCGCAUCAGAGACUGUCCUCAUAUCCUUCUCAAGAUUCCGUUCUCAAACACUUACAACCUAUGUUCCAGAUCCUUUGUCACCCUCCAGGUUUCACAACCAUAAGUUAACAGAAGUUUAAUAAUGGUUGUAAAGGACUACAUCUUUGUUCUUCUUGAUAAGAUAUUGCUAUUGAGAAUUUUGGCUAAAGCCCAACUACAUCUGGCUGCUGCUGCUAUUCUUAAUUUUACUUCUUCCUCUACUCUAUUUUCAACUGUAACUGUUGCUCUAAGGUAUUUGAAAUUCUCAACAGCUUCCAACUCCAUGUUUCCACACCUGAUGUUAACCUAGUAUCCUCUCUUGCCUUUGAAACUUUAAAGAUUUUGGUUUUUGCCUCAUUUCCAGGCCAACCUGAUUUGCAGCUUCUCUAAAAAUGCCUAUUUUUCUAUCAAUUUCCUGGAUGUUUUCACCACAAGUCCGUAUCAUCCGCCAAAGCUAAUAUACAUACUACUGUGAAAUGAUGAACGACCAUGGUUGUGUCGAGAAGGAGCACAACUGCAGAUGCGAAUGGAAUAAGCCGUGGAAGGAGGUUGCGACCGGUUACAACAGUCAAACUUAAGUUAAAAUACUGAACAACACUAUUUUACUCUUUCAUUUCAUUCACUUGCAAGUGUAUUUCAUAAAUGAUAUUUUAGAAAACUCUAAUAUAUAUUUCAAAUUGUUAUGGGGGGGGGAAAAAUUAAGUACAGGUACGUACCUCGAAGUUGGUUCGAGUGGGAAACUCCAGUCACGUUUUGUAGCUGUGUUAGGUGCAAUUUUGAAAUCUUGAUUUGAGGAUGUCAUUAGAUUUUGUUACCAGAAGUACUUAGUUCCAAGAACUUUUAGAUAAAUAAAGGAAAAAUUAAUAUACAUAGUAUUGAAUUGACACUACCUGAGAUUUUCCGGUCAAGGUUUUAAAGUUGAUUUUUACCAAAACCAUUAAAUCUUAUACUUAAUAUGUAGCUAGAUGAAUAAUUUUCACGAUGGUGCCGAUAAUAUAUAGAAAAAAGUAACAUUGAUAAAAAAUUUAUGAUGAAGAAGAAUAGACCCUUGUCAAAAUGACCGAAAAAUUUUCUGGUCAACGUUUUAGAUAUAAAAAUUAUAUUGGCUCAUAGAAAAUGACAUUAAAAAACAGGAACUUCAAUCAAUGUCAUAUGUCAAGCCGUUUUAAAGAUAUCAAGGAAAGUGUACUGAAAAUUGUCAUUUUCAGAUUUUCUAGUUUGGUCACGGAAGUGGAGAUGAAAUAUGGAAGCUAACAGAAGAAAUAGUUUCUAACAAACUUGAUUGCAAGUUGUGAGAUAUGUAAAAGAUACAAAAGAAUCCCAGCUAAACCAGUAGUAGGAUUUUCUUGGAGGAAAACAUUUAAUGAAGUUGUAGUAAUGGAUGUGGGAGAGAGAAGAGAGCGAGUUCUUGUUAAUGGUAGAUAUGGCAACUAGGUAUUGUCAGGCUUUUUGGAUAAAAUUUAAGAAACCAGGAACAACUAUAACGGACGAUUUGGUGGGUGUUUUGCUAUAUUUGGUGUGCCUUCAAAAAUAGUCAAUGGGGAGAAUUUCAACAUAAGGUGGAUGGCAGAAAGAUGGACUAUUAAAGUAUUGGUAACGGCACCGGACUCUCCAUUGAGCAAUGGAUUCUGUAAAAAGACAGUAGGCAUAUAAUACGACAUUUUAAGAAAGAUGAUAGAAGAUUAGGAAGUGGAUUGGUCCGUAGCAUUAAGAUGGGUAGAGAGUGCUAGGAACUGCUUAAUAAAUAAUGGAGGUUUCUCUUAAUAAUAAAUUAGUAUUUGGAAAAAACCCUUCUUUGCCUAAUAUAAUGGAAGAAGAGUCCUGCAAGCAGAGAGAAAGGUAUGGAAGAGUAUAGUAAGGGAUACACUGAAUACCAUGCAUAAGGCCAGAGAAGAGUUCAUUAAAAGUGUGUCAUGUAAUGAAAUAGGAUUUGAUUCAAAUAAGAAUGUCCGGCUAUUCCAUUGAGGACCGAGAGAUGUGUGUUUCUGGUGAUAGAAAUUCACUCUCGACAUGGUUCGGAAGUCACGUAAAGUUGUUAGUCCCGUUACUGAAUAACCACUGGUUCCAUGCAACGUAAAAGCACCAUACAAUCAAAAACAAAUAAGAAUGUCAGAGAACAUAAAUUUGAAGCGGCAGUAGGGGGAUGAGGUAUUCUAUAAGGAAAUGAAUGGAGAGGACCUGUUUAGGUAGUGGGAGUAUAAGGUGAAAUGGUAGUUUAAGGUGAAAUGGUGGUGGUUUUAAACAUGGAGAUUCUCUAAGAGAAGAAACUAGAAUACAUGUUACUAGGGUUCAAAGACUAUCACCAGAAACAGAAAAGAUAACUAAAAUAGAUAAAUUGCAUAUUGUGAAAGAUAGAUCCUUUGCCCCAAAGGAAGGGAAUGUAGAUUGGCAGGAAAGCAAGAUGAUAAUGGGCUGGAGACGGAAUGCAGACACAAGAGAUAGGGAGAAAAUUAGAAGCAUUGGUUAUUACUGAUGGUAAAACACGAAUGACUUCAUUAAAAUAGUAUGUACUGGGGAAAGAGAUUAAAAAUAUAUUGCAGCAAAGAGAGACCAUAUCUGGGGAAAUCAAGGUGGUGAGAUGGAUAAAAGGAAAAGAUCAGAUAGCUGAUGUAUUAACUAAAGCAGGAGUUUCGGGUAAAAUAUCAGAAAUUAUGUAGAGGGUAGAGUUAUUGAAUAUGAAUGAGAUUAGAGGGGAUUAGGUUAUGAAAAGGUUGGAGGGGAUGGGAGCUCUGAUUAUAUUUCAGCUUGGUGUUUUAUUUUUAUUUUCUGUAUUGGUGAAAUGUGGGUGUUGUUCAAUGUAUGGGAAACAUCAUUGAUUUUAGACAAUGUCUUAAAUGUAUUGAAGUCGCAAUGUCAUAGAAGACAAGAUGGUGGCAGCACGAGGUGGAAAAUGUAAACUGAGUUGGGCAGAAUAGGAGAGAAGGAUGUGGUGUUUAGUUUGUUAGGAGAGAGCUCUGUCUUAUAGGAAUUUGUGGGUUGUACGUCAUGUUGUGGUGGUGUUCAAAGUCUUAAGCUGGAUUAUACUUGGACCAAGGAAUGUGAACAGGUACUGGAGUACACUAGCCAUGUCUUACCUACUGAGGAAGGGAGCUCUUGUGUUCCUCAACUGGACUGAUGACUUACCGAACCACUUCCAUUAGUAUGCAUUAGCUCUGGAACCAGUGUUAAGUCAAAGCUUUAGCUAUAAUGACCACUGCUUCCUUCCACUAUCUGCAGUGUCACUAAACUUGCCUGCAUACCAUCGACUUGACCAGCAAGAAACUACUUUCAGCAUACAAAGGUUGCCUUCUAAUAUUAAUUACCAAGUGAUACAAAUAGUUUGUGGAGGAAUUAUGGAAGAACAUGUACAUACUCGACAAUGGAGACUGUUCAACUCUUACUCGACGAUGAAGAAUGUUCAACUACCAACACAUCUGUUACUCGACGAUGAAGAAUGUUCAACUACCAACACAUCUGUAAAGUACCCAACAUUCCAGUCCAGCUGAGCUUGCUACUACACACACUUCAAGACUUGGCCUCAGCUCUAUAGCUUAUGCUGAAUCAGGUGAAAGACUGUUCUGUUGAAUUAUGAACAUGUUCUGUUGAAUUUUCAAAUCUUUAAAGAUGUGAAAUAGUUGAACAGUCUUCCAUUCUGUUGAAUUAUGAACAUCUUUAAAGAUGUGAAAUAGUUGAACAGUCUUCCAUUUAAAGUACCCAGUAUUCCAGGCCAGCUGAGCUUCCUACUACACACACACUCCAAGACUGGGUCUCAGUUCUAUAUGUUAUCCUGAAUCUAAUGGAAGACUGUUGAAUAAACAAACAUUUUUAAAGUGCCCAGCAUUCCAUUCCAGCUCAGCUUGCUAUUAUACGCUUGUCAAGACUGGGCCUGGAUACUAUAGCUUAUGCUGUACUCUGCAGUUGUUUAUGGCUCAAUUCUCUAUAUUUGUUGGCUGCAUAGCUGGUGUGUUAAGAUGAAGAAAGUCUAGAAUGUGUUCAGAUUCUUUAUUUCUAAUAAAAUGUUACAGUAUC